rnacentral:misc_RNA from 1 species
AAUUCAAAUAAAUUUAAUUUAUAAAUUUUAUUAAAAACAUUUAUCAAAUGAAUUUUACUUUUAUAUAUCCUUAAUUUGAUAUUACAGUUUGCAUUUUUUAUUAGUUUAUGUAAUAUAUAACAUGACUUGACAAGUGUUAGUCCUGCUGGAGGCUUGAAGCAUCAAUGAGAGGCAUCUGAGAGAAAUUUUCAGUUCCACGUGAAUUGGCAGCAAGUUUCACCAUUGAUGAAUAAAAAAUAUAUCUAUUGCUAAUUUAUCACGAUAAAAUGCAAAAUAUCAAUAUUAAUGUGACAUUAAUUUAUCGGAUUAUAUUUUACUAAAACCAAAUCACAAUAAAGAAUUAUUUUGACCCUUCUCGAAAUGAAAUAUAUUGCUCCAUAUUUCCAUCAUGUUUAAGAAAUUAAAGACCAUAUGUAAAUAAAACUGCCUAGAGCUUAGAUAGUUCAUAAAGUUACAAAGUAAAGCCAUGUAUUGAAACUCCUGAUCUAAUUAUAGCCCAUUUGUGUAUUUUAUACUCAUUAUUUGAUCAUCUUAUACAUUCACUUAUUCUAUAGUAGCCAACAGAGGUUGAAGAUGAUUUGCAGAUAUUUGCCACAUUAAAUCCUAGAGGGUAUAAGUUCAACAAAUAUUAGACUGUUAAUGAUUUACAAAGUUGAACAUUGAAAUUUAAAGAAUCAGUAACAAAUAAGGUUAUCACCAAUGUCUAAUGCAUACCAGAAAAGUUUCCAUAAAAUCAAAAUUAUUUUUUUUUCACAAAGCAUAAAAUCAAAUUAUAGUAGUGAAUCAAACCUGAAACUUAAUUGGUGUAGUGGUUUUCCCUUCGUUGGACAGAUCAUCACACUGAAUAUAUGGGAAGUAGAUGUCCUUCAGCCUGCAUUGGAGUUGAAAUAUGUCCAAGUUUUUCAUUUUAAGCUCCAAUAUCUCAACCUUUGUAAAGCUUCCCUGAGGAGAUCCUCUAUUUUCAUCUUCUGUAGGAUUCCUCAUGCCUCCUUUAGUCCUCCAAGUUAGUUCAGAAUGAGUACUGCUAAGCAUAGCUUCUCUCUCAAGAUGUAAAGUGUAAACUUUUCUAGACUCCUUUGUCUUGGAAGAGACUAAAGCACACCUCCCCAGAUGCAUAGAUGCCAUGGGUCCCCCAUAUCCAAACAUGCCAAAAUACGGCAUCAAGUAAGGUGGUUUGCCCCCUAUUGCCCGAGUCUUGGAUGAUCUGUGAAGUGAGGCACCCAACUUUCCCCACUUCACUAUAGAGUUUUCAUCACUGUUGUCCAUUCCAGGACCAGUGUCAAAAAUUGAAAUUUUAUCCUCCAAUUUCAUGAAGUCAACACUUAUCAAUCUCCUAUCAUUUUUACCAUUAGACCAAACAGCUUGCAAGGAAUUGUCGAUCAAAUCUGCUAGAGCAGUUUCAAAAGUAUACUCCUCUGGUAGCUCCCUUAGUAAAUCAGUAUCAGGAGUCAAAUCCCACAUGUUCUCAUAAAUAUCAAUAGUCAUUUUGGACCCAUCAUGAAGGCGCAAAAUGUGACACUUGUGCGGCUUGAAAUUAGCAAAGUAGAUCCUGCGCCUUAUUUUGUUGUCAUUUGCAUCCUCAAGGUACAGAUUUCCACCAUUCCAAUUUACAGGCCUAUUCCUCUUCGAUUCCGAUUGUCGCUGAGCCAGCAAAUACUCUUCUUUCACCAAUUUAAUAAAAUCAUCAAACAAAAUUUCACUUCCUGGGUCCGUCAAUCUCAAUCCUACAGUCAUUCCAUUUGGCAAUAGUAUCCUGAACCUAUAAAUCAUCUCCAUCGCCACUAGUUGCCUCUUGCUCCCCCUCGAUUCCAUAUUUCAAAAAUACAAGAAAAUCAAAAUGAGACGAGAACAAAAACCAAACCGCAAACUGCUAUUCUGACACAAAACUUUGCUUCUCAAUCAAGAAAGCCAUGAUGAAGAUGAUAAUAGCACCUUUCUUUAGACAGAAUGCGCUUGAGCUUGAAACAGAUGGAGAAAGAGAGAGAACUCAGAAGCUAUGGUUUUAGUAAAGAAGA